UACGAAGGGUGCAAGCGUUAAUCGGAAUUACUGGGCGUAAAGCGUGCGUAGGCGGUUUCUUAAGUCUGCUGUGAAAUCCCCGGGCUCAACCUGGGAACUGCGCUUGUGACUGCAAGGCUAGAGUACGGCAGAGGGGGGUGGAAUUCCACGUGUAGCAGUGAAAUGCGUAGAGAUGUGGAGGAACACCAAUGGCGAAGGCAGCCCCCUGGGUCGAUACUGACGCUCAUGCACGAAAGCGUGGGUAGCAAACAGG
rnacentral:rRNA from 1 species